CAAGCCAACACUAUUUGAAGGGAAAGCCUCAGUUUCUGCCCAGCAGAGCUGGGAUUAGGACUAGGAAUUCAGGGGUGCAGCACGCUGUCUGGAACAACACUUAACCCCUCAAGGCCACUACAU